GUUAAUUCUCUCCUUAUGGACAAGGCUAGUGGGAGUUACAAGGGUGUUUGCUUGGCUUCUGAACAAGAAUUGUUCUGCCAUAAGCUGAUAUUAGCUCCAUCUUUUGUGGUUCAAUCACCACUCCCUUAUUCCUCCCCUGAUGCUCAUGAUUUUGGCUCGCGAAAUACAACUGAGAAGCUGGCGAGGAGUAUAUGCAUCUCAAAGCACUCUCUGAAACUGGAUGUAGCCAAUUGUCUGGCAUUUUUUCCUCCUAGAUCUCUCUUUCCUGAGCAGGUCACAGCAAUCCAUGUGCUUCAGUUGAGUAGCAAUGUAGCUGUUUGCCCCUCUGGAAUGUUUUUGACUUAUCUCUCAGCUAUAUGUGAGGAUGAUGUUCAGGGUAAGAAUUUAUUACAUACAGCCAUCGAUGUGCUGUUUCAUGUUCCUGUUUCUGGAAGUCCUGGGAAUAAUAAUUUUGUGGAGGACCAAAGUGAAACAGGGGAUGCAAAACCUGCUGUACUUUGGAGUGUCUUUUAUACUCAGGAACUUGCUAAGUUUCAGGAUGUACGAGAUAAUAUCAUCCGUACCCCCAUGCCAGAUGGUAGUCCAUAUUACCACGAUCUUCUGGUUGCUACAGAAAAGAUAUUUCGAGAGCUGUAUUCUGGUGAAGAAUUCUUUCCCAAAUCAACCUCAUCGGAGGAGGGUGCUGCCCAAGAGCUCGAGGACUAGACACCAAUAUUGAUGCUGCUGGAUAUGUUUUCAUUUUAGCUGAUGGAUGGUUGCAGAAUAUUACAGCUUGCAUUGAUAAUGACAACAACAUGCCCAGUAUAAUCCUACAAGUGGGGUGUGUAGGAUGUGCCUCACUGACAAUGGUGACGAUAAUAUAGUUGAAGUGGUUUCGGUCCCUACAUACCAAUAUUGGUGUUUUAUUGGAAACACUUUGUUGUUGUAAAGGUAAUGUCGAUAGUGUUCGAGUUUCUUUGGCUUACAAUUAACAGGAUUGAAUGUAGAGGUUUGGCA
rnacentral:misc_RNA from 1 species